rnacentral:rRNA from 1 species
GGAGGCAGCAGUGGGGAAUAUUGGACAAUGGGCGAAAGCCUGAUCCAGCCAUGCCGCGUGUGUGAAGAAGGCCUUUUGGUUGUAAAGCACUUUAAGCGAGGAGGAGGCUACUUGGAUUAAUACUCUAGGAUAGUGGACGUUACUCGCAGAAUAAGCACCGGCUAACUCUGUGCCAGCAGCCGCGGUAAUA